GAGGUAAUGGCUCACCAAGGCGACGACGGGUAGCCGGCCUGAGAGGGCGACCGGCCACACUGGGACUGAGACACGGCCCAGACUCCUACGGGAGGCAGCAGUGGGGAAUAUUGGGCAAUGGAGGAAACUCUGACCCAGCGACGCCGCGUGAGGGAUGAAGGCCUUCGGGUUGUAAACCUCUUUCAGUAGGGAAGAAGCGAAAGUGACGGUACCUACAGAAGAAGCACCGGCUAACUAUGUGCCAGCAGCCGCGGUAAUACAUAGGGUGCAAGCGUCGUCCGGAAUUAUUGGGCGUAAAGAGCUCGUAGGUGGUUCGAUACGUCGGAUGUGAAAAUCAGGGGCUCAACCCCUGACCUGCAUCCGAUACGGUCGAGCUAGAGUUUGGUAGGGGAGACUGGAAUUCCUGGUGUAGCGGUGGAAUGCGCAGAUAUCAGGAGGAACACCGAUGGCGAAGGCAGGUCUCUGGGCCAAUACUGACACUGAGGAGCGAAAGCGUGGGGAGCGAACAGGAUUAGAUACCCUGGUAGUCCACGCCGUAAACGGUGGGCGCUAGUUGUGCGAACCUUCCACGGUUUGUGCGACGCAGCUAACGCAUUAAGCGCCCCGCCUGGGGAG
rnacentral:rRNA from 1 species